rnacentral:rRNA from 1 species
CGGGGGAGCAAGCGUUGUUCGAAUUUACUGGGCGUAAAGGGCGCGUAGGCGGCCACCGCAAGUCGACUGUGAAAUCUCCGGGCUUAACCCGGAAAGGUCAGCCGAUACUGCGGGGCUAGAGUGCAGAAGGGGCAACUGGAAUUCUCGGUGUAGCGGUGAAAUGCGUAGAUAUCGAGAGGAACACCUGCGGCGAAGGCGGGUUGCUGGGCUGACACUGACGCUGAGGCGCGAAAGCUAGGGGAGCGAACGGGAUUAGAUACCCCGGUAGUCCUAGCCUUAAACGAUGAAUGCUUGGUGUCUGGGGUUUUAUAGUCCCCGGGUGCCGUCGCUAACGCUUUAAGCAUUCCGCCUGGGGAGUACGGUCGCAAGACUG